GAGAGAUCAAAUAGUACGUGAAAUCGACCAAAUGGAAGCGGAUAUAGUCGGCGGAUCUGAUUCGUAUUCAGCCGAAUACUGUGCGGUUGCGACAAUUGGCGUCGUCGUCUCCGGGCUCUCGGAUGCGUUGACGCCUGUUGGCGCUUUUUCGCGCAAAUCGGUGCACUUGCGAAUCAUUGUGCGCUGGAACGUGCGCGCCUUUCGCUUGCGGCCGAAGAAGAGGAUGCGUUUUUCGAUACGUAAAACCGGCUUCUGGCUUAGCGAGCGGUUCGGCGUGCACUUGCCAAGUAGGCGCGAAAAACGUCUGACGUAUUGUCAUUCAGCGGGCGUAUGGCGAUCGCAUGCGACACGCGUACGUCUUUGGUUUGGCGUGCGUUAGGCCUUUUCGCGAUUUUCCGGCGUAAGAGUCGAGCGAUUAUCCGACCCGUCUUGAAACACGGACCAAGGAGUUUAAGGUAUGCGCGAGUGAUUGGGUGACUAAAACCCAAAUGCGAAAUGAAAGUGAAUGUGCACUUGAGGCACUUAUACGCGAUCCGUCAUCGUUUGUGGUGCGCGGAGCAGCGUAGCCCCGUCUUGAUCGCUUGCGAUGGGGCGGAGGAAGAGCGUAUGCGUUGAGACCCGAAAGAUGGUGAACUAUGCUUGAGCAGGACGAAGUCAGAGGAAACUCUGAUGGAAGUCCGAAACGGUUCUGACGUGCAAAUCGAUCGUAUGAUUUAAGUAUAGGGGCGAAAGACUAUCGACUAUC
rnacentral:rRNA from 1 species